rnacentral:lncRNA from 10 species
GUUGAAGAAAUAAAGGCAGCAAGGGUCAACGUGUGGUUGGCAGAAUUCUAAGGACGCCCCCGCACACUUGUCUUCCAGAUAUUCAGUCAAAAGCGAAUCCAGACAUUGCUCCGAAGGGACUUUUCAGAUGGAAUUAAGAUUACUAAUCAGCUAACACUAAAAUAGGGAGAUCAUCCUGGAUUAUCCGGAUGGACCCAGUGUCAUCUCGUGAGACUUUAAAUGACAAAGAGGAAGGAGCCAGCAGUCAGCGCUGAAGAAGAGUGGAGCCGAGAGAGACUCCAGGUGUGGAAGGGGCUCAACCCUAGGUGUUAGCUUUAAGAUGCCGAAGCAGCCAGGAGUCACCAGUGUGGAAGGCAUCAGGACACUGAGAGAGACCCCAGCGGACAGCCAGCACAAAACAAGGCCUCAGUGCCACAGAGGCAAGGAGCUGGAAUCAACCACCACAUGAAUGACCUGGAAGCUAAUUCAUCCCUGAGCCCCCACAAAGUCACAUAGGCCCCCUGACUUCUUGAUUUCAGCCUUAGGAAAACAUGGAGCACAUACCAGCCAAGCCCACUCAGACUUCUGACCUACCAACUUCCAGAUAAUACAUUUGUGUUGUGUGGCCUACAUUUGUGGUGAUUUGUUCUGGCUGCAAUAGAAAAUGAAUACAAAAUACACCAAAUCUAACUAAUUUGUUACUAUGGUAGUAGAAAGAACCAGUUUACUAAAAGAAAAAAAGAAAGCAAAAAAAGAAAAUGAACUAAAAAUGUUACUUUAUUUCUGAUAGCCCAUAUACACAGCCACACCAAGUGGCAACUUUUCUAUUAGGACUGGAGCAAGCCAGUGCUUUAGGUGACACAGCCUUGUAUUGUAUUGCUAGGCACAGACCAGGUCAGCCCAUGCUUUUAUCCCAGACUCAAUCCCACUGUGCCAGAACUUAGUCUAGUAUUAAGUCUUAACACUCAGAAAACUGCUUUGCAUUGUGUGAGGCUAAAUAGAUGUGAAUUUCCUACAGACGCACACACAUCCUACAACAGUAAGUUGUUAAGGGUGGGGAGACUUCAGCAAAUGCUUCAUCGCUAAUUUUGGUUGGCUGGUCAAAU